rnacentral:rRNA from 1 species
GAUGAACGCUGGCGGCGUGCCUAAUACAUGCAAGUCGAGCGAACGGACGAGAAGCUUGCUUCUCUGAUGUUAGCGGCGGACGGGUGAGUAACACGUGGAUAACCUACCUAUAAGACUGGGAUAACUUCGGGAAACCGGAGCUAAUACCGGAUAAUAUUUUGAACCGCAUGGUUCAAAAGUGAAAGACGGUCUUGCUGUCACUUAUAGAUGGAUCCGCGCUGCAUUAGCUAGUUGGUAAGGUAACGGCUUACCAAGGCAACGAUGCAUAGCCGACCUGAGAGGGUGAUCGGCCACACUGGAACUGAGACACGGUCCAGACUCCUACGGGAGGCAGCAGUAGGGAAUCUUCCGCAAUGGGCGAAAGCCUGACGGAGCAACGCCGCGUGAGUGAUGAAGGUCUUCGGAUCGUAAAACUCUGUUAUUAGGGAAGAACAUAUGUGUAAGUAACUAUGCACAUCUUGACGGUACCUAAUCAGAAAGCCACGGCCAACUACGUG